rnacentral:rRNA from 1 species
UACGAAGGGGGGCUAGCGUUGUUCGGAAUCACUGGGCGUAAAGGGCGCGUAGGCGGGCCCGCAAGUCAGGGGUGAAAUCCCACGGCUCAACCGUGGAAGUGCCUUUGAUACUGCGGAUCUCGAGGGAGGUAGGGGCGUGCGGAACUUCCGGUGGAGCGGUGAAAUGCGUAGAUAUCGGAAGGAACACCGGUGGCGAAAGCGGCGCGCUGGACCUCUUCUGACGCUGAGGCGCGAAAGCCAGGGGAGCAAACGGG